GCAGACAGACUGUCCACAGUGUGUUUGAUAAGCUGACAUGGGACAGGAUUUCUUUUCACUGUUGUGUCAGUAUAUCAAACUCAUACCUGGUCAUC
rnacentral:pre_miRNA from 1 species